rnacentral:misc_RNA from 1 species
AUGGGCAUGGCUUGAUCAUUAUUGAUCUAUUUGGUUGUUCAUGUCGGAAUUAUGUAGUUAGUGAGAUUUUCGAUAUCAGGAACUUUAUGAUAAACUGUCAUAACUCAUGAGUCAUGGAAUUGUGAACAUUUUCUUUUUGAGCGCAUUUUCAAUUAUUUCUUGCAGAGCACUUUCGACAACAGUUGCUAGUGAUGGCUUUGUAA